rnacentral:lncRNA from 1 species
CAGUUCACUCAGGUCGUGGGCCAUCGAAUAGCCACUCAGCUGCUCAAGCUGGUCCAUAUGGAGAAAGGACAGCCAAAGCAAGAAAAUAAGCUGCAGAUGUUGGCCCAGGAUUUAGAGAAAGCUGCAGAUAAAGGGGAAGUCCCUGCUAAGAGCAUCUGACCUUCCAACAGGGUUAAUACCAUCCCCACCUUGGUGGAAAAUGAGAAGGCAUGGAUCCACUGGGUUGGCUGUCUUCCUCCCUCUCUUGGGCAUAGAAUGGAGGCUCCCUACUGAAUUAUCAAAGGAAACGCCAUAGAAAAAUCUGCACCACCCUCACCUUCACUGGUUAAUUCAGACAACUAAGAGCUCUCUCUGGCUAGAAUGGUGAAAGCUAUCAGGAUCUACAACAAUGACAGAUAUGAUGAGAUCUGCACUGCUGGGGAGGCAAUGCCCUGGGCCACAAACCCAAGGCUUGCACAGCCAAGCCCACCUGGAAAAGACAAAGGCCAAACAAGUUGCCAUGAAACUGGAUUAA